rfam:Magnaporthe oryzae 70-15 chromosome 3, whole genome shotgun sequence.
UCCCUCGUGGCGCAAUUGGCUAGCGCGUUAGACUGUUAGGAAAUAUCCACAGCAGUUCAUCUAGAGGCUGGUGGUUCGAGCCCACCCGAGGGAG